ensembl:lncRNA
GUACAUGUACAGUAGAUGCAGGUGUGUGUGUUUGUCUCUUCCUGUGUAUAUUUCUGGAAGGCAGCACGGAAUGGGUUAAUGUGUGUUUGCUAAUAGGCUAACAUCAUGGGAUUUAUUUCUUGAAUAUGCUGUGUUGUCACUAAAACAGUGUUUUAUAAUCGAAAGGAAACUGAUUCAGUUUGUUUGUAAUGAUGAACAUGUUUUGCUCUUCUUUAACAGGGAGUCUCAUCUCUGAAGAACUGCAUUCUGGGUAUGAAGAUGCUGAUGAGUUUCUCUCAGCAGAAGAGUUCAAUACUGCAUAUUAUGAUGAUGUCACCAAUGGCAGUGGCCUAAAAGGUCAGUGACCUUUUAAAUUGAUCACAUGAUUCAAAUGUUUACAGAGUCUCAGUAUCAUGAUCUGCAACAAGAAUGUUUUUUUUUUUUUUGGCUUUUGUAUCCAAACAUAUUGUGUGUUGAUGCAGAAGAGAUGAAGGAAAUCACACCGGUGUACUAUGAUGAUGUCAUUACUGAUGGACUGAAGCCAGAUCGUGAGACAGGUGUCACUUUGUUAUUUUACAACAGCAUAUAAUAUAUUUUUUAAUUAAAAUAUGACAGUACAUUUAAGAUAGAUAUUUCAAAUUUGUUCUGAAUGUAAUUAUUGUGCGUCUGUGAUGAAUGUGUGAAUUUGUAGAAGAAACACCGGAGAGCUAUGAUGAUGUCAUGACAAGCGGAUGCAACACUGAUAUAAAAAAAGUGGAUGCACCAGAGAAUUAUGAUGAUGUCAUCAUUAAUAGACCUAGCUCUCAAGAGGUAAAAGAGGGAGUUCAGGAGGAGUAUGAUGAUGUGAUGAGUGUCAGUGAAGAUGUGAAAAACCUGUUGGAUUAUGAUGAUGUGGAGUCAAACAAAGAAGUGGGGCAUUCGGCUCAGUGAUCAUCCAUUGCCUCGGUUCAACAAAUCUGAACAAAGUUUGAAUGAUAUUGUUAUUGAUGUCAAAUCUCAGGUUUUUAUAUUUUCCCCCAUUUUUGUUUUAAAACUUUUAAAAGUUCUACAUUAGACACACACACACUCAAAGUCUGUAUCAAAUGUUAUCUUAUGUGAUCAGCUGUUUUUAACCAAUAAAUAAAAAU